rnacentral:tRNA from 1 species
GCACCCAUAGCUCAGCAGGAUAGAGCACCAGAUUCCUAAUCUGGGGGCCACUGGUUCGAAUCCAGUUGGGUGCA